UACGUAGGGGGCAAGCGUUGUCCGGAAUCAUUGGGCGUAAAGCGCGCGCAGGCGGUCCUGUAAGUCCGCUGUGAAAGUCAAGGGCUCAACCCUUGAAUGCCGGUGGAUACUGCAGGGCUAGAGUCCGGAAGAGGCGAGUGGAAUUCCUGGUGUAGCGGUGAAAUGCGCAGAUAUCAGGAGGAACACCGAUGGCGAAGGCAGCUCGCUGGGACGGUACUGACGCUGAGGCGCGAAAGCGUGGGGAGCAAACAGG
rnacentral:rRNA from 1 species